rnacentral:rRNA from 1 species
AUUGAACGCUGGCGGCAUGCUUUACACAUGCAAGUCGAACGGUAACAGGUUAAGCUGACGAGUGGCGAACGGGUGAGUAAUGCAUCGGAACGUGCCCGGUCGUGGGGGAUAACGCAGCGAAAGCUGCGCUAAUACCGCAUACGAUCUGAGGAUGAAAGCGGGGGACCGUAAGGCCUCGCGCGAUCGGAGCGGCCGAUGUCAGAUUAGGUAGUUGGUGGGGUAAAGGCUCACCAAGCCAACGAUCUGUAGCUGGUCUGAGAGGACGACCAGCCACACUGGGACUGAGACACGGCCCAGACGCCUACGGGAGGCAGCAGUGGGGAAUUUUGGACAAUGGGCGAAAGCCUGAUCCAGAAAUGCCGCGUGCAGGAAGAAGGCCUUCGGGUCGUAAACUGCUUUUGUACGGAGCGAAAAGGUCUCCUCUAAUACAGGGGGCUCAUGACGGUACCGUAAGAAUAAGCACCGGCUAACUACGUGCCAGCCGCCGCGGUAA